rnacentral:rRNA from 1 species
CCCAUAUGGUCGACCUGCAGGCGGCCGCGAAUUCACUAGUGAUUAGAGUUUGAUCAUGGCUCAGAUUGAACGCUGGCGGCAUGCCUUACACAUGCAAGUCGAACGGCAGCACGGGGGCAACCCUGGUGGCGAGUGGCGAACGGGUGAGUAAUACAUCGGAACGUGUCCUGGAGUGGGGGAUAGCCCGGCGAAAGCCGGAUUAAUACCGCAUACGCUCUAUGGAGGAAAGGGGGGGAUCUUCGGACCUCCCGCUCAAGGGGCGGCCGAUGGCAGAUUAGCUAGUUGGUGGGGUAAUGGCUCACCAAGGCGACGAUCCGUAACUGGUCUGAGAGGAUGAUCAGUCACACUGGAACUGAGACACGGUCCAGACUCCUACGGGAGGCAGCAGUGGGGAAUAUUGGACAAUGGGCGAAAGCCUGAUCCAGCCAUGCCGCGUGUGUGAAGAAGGUCUUCGGAUUGUAAAGCACUUUAAGUUGGGAGGAGGGGCAUUAACCUAAUACGUUAGUGUUUUGACGUUACCGACAGAAUAAGCACCGGCUAACUCUGUGCCAGCAGCCGCGGUAAUACGAAUCGAAUUCCCGCGGCCG